rnacentral:lncRNA from 1 species
CUCAUUUGAAAUUUCAUAAAUAAAAAAGAAAAUUUCUUCAAACAUUUUUUUGAGAGGAUUAAUAUUCAACAGCAUAGUGAAUUGCUCUAAGAGAAAACAAAAAUUUUAAGUUCAUUAGAACACAUUCAUUCUGUGUCAAAAACCUAUGCUGUGUCAACUAUUUAAUCACAAUCCAAAUUUAGAGCUGAAUCCAGCUUGAAUGUUGUGUCCAUACUUGCCCCAACCGUUCAGGGUUCAACCUCUGCGGUCGUAUAAAGCUACGCCCUGCGGAGCAUCUGGUUCUUAUAUGUUCCGUUAUGAAACUGAUAUUUGAGAUUGUACUUCCAUAAAGAAAUAGAGAACCAUCUAGGUCGUUUAAUAAACAUUUAAUAUACGUUCUUACUCCAGGGUUUGUUUUGGAAAUUAUGCGCAUGCGUAUGGUUUUCUUGACUUCAAGGGGUUUUAGAUUGAAUGGUUGCUCUGGAUUCUCCACUCAAUUAAUUAAUUUAUAACUCAUGGGAUCUUUUCUAUGUAUGUCUGCUAUUGAAGGUUAUUGUUGUUGCAUAAUUUUAAAUCAUAUGCAUCAUUUAAAUUAAAAUAAAUUUAGUCCUCAUCGUAGAACACCCCUUCAGGGGAAAUGGAGUCUUCCAUAUUAUCGUUUCGAGUUGUCUCCCUGCCAGAAGUAACUUCCGUGAAUUCUGAAUCAAAACAACACGUCGAGUAUUAGCUCGUUCUGUCAAUAAACGUCGUAUUAUAUUAAAAACGAUC